rnacentral:piRNA from 1 species
CUGAUAUAAUGGCGCCGACGA